rnacentral:ncRNA from 1 species
CGGCUGAGGUUGCGGAAAUGAUGAGUACCCGUUCGGUUUGGCAAUUGCCGAAUGCGGGAAGGGCAUUUUCGCCGAAGGUUCUGUCUGCUGCCCGGCAGGCACUUCCUGGGGCCGCACAGAAGAUGUGCGGAACUGUCAUCCGCGGGUGUC